rnacentral:tRNA from 1 species
AGGUCAGUAGUUCAUUUGGUAGAGCGUCGGUCUCCAAAACCGAAUGUUGGGGGUUCGAGUCCCUCCUGACCUGCCA